rnacentral:rRNA from 1 species
UACGUAGGGUGCGAGCGUUAAUCGGAAUUACUGGGCGUAAAGCGUGCGCAGGCGGUUUUGUAAGCCAGAUGUGAAAUCCCCGGGCUCAACCUGGGAAUUGCGUUGGAGACUGCAAGGCUGGAGUCUGGCAGAGGGGGGUAGAAUUCCACGUGUAGCAGUGAAAUGCGUAGAGAUGUGGAGGAACACCGAUGGCGAAGGCAGCCCCCUGGGUCAAGACUGACGCUCAUGCACGAAAGCGUGGGGAGCAAACAGG